GGAUGUGAUUAUUUGUGACAAAUACGAAUUUCUUGCAGGUACUUAUAAAAGCACAGAGAAGUGACAAGAAACAUAACAGUUCUUCACACCACUGGGGAAGUUCAAUCUGAUUUUGAACCAUAUUUGGUUCAGUAGGAGUGUACUCCACUUAUUACUGAUGAGAUUUUGUUAUUUUGUGCACAGAUUAUGAUCUUACCACAGAAGAAGCACGACAAAUGCAGCAAAGCAGCAAUUGUAUCUAAACUUUAAAGACCCUCUCCCAGACAUUGACUCUGGAUUUCUAAUUUCCUAAUCUUCUUCAUUAUGAAAAAUAUAGGAGACAAAAACAAGUCCAGUUGUCCUCCAGAAAAAGGAUGUUCAUAGCUGGUAGAACUUUCCUGAGAAGUGAGAAGAGGAGAGCUGGAACAUUAAACCCCCAAGCAAUCAAAGCAGACCUAUCUGUUCUGUGCCAAAGGCAGUGAGAGAAAAUCAGCUAAGUAACAAGAACAACUUUCAAAAAAAUAGUUUGGUCCUUCCGAGUGUGUUUUUUUUUUCCAUUUUGGACUAAAAUGUACAGUGCUCUCUAUUAUACAUUCUAUUAAAUAGAAAAUACCAGUUGCUUGCUGUGACUUGCAGAUUAUGGAUGUUGCUGUUGCUAUUGUUUUUCAAAUGGCGAGGUUGUAAGAUAUAAGGAUAUGUGUGUACAUAUGCUUCUCCAUAUCUCCAGACAAUUUUGCAAGAUAUCAUAUCUUCAAAUGAGAGACUGAUGAGUAUACAAUACUGUGAGGGAUCACAAAGCUGGGAUGUUUUUAGCUUUCUUUAAACUCCUAAAAUAAUGGAAUAUAAAUACUGUCAUUUUAUAGCAUUGACUACAUGGUAAAACUCCUUUUGAUUCCUAUAAUUUGUUUCUUGGAAUUAUUUUAAUCAAAGAGAAAUGUUCUAUAGUGACACAAAAACAGACCUUUGGAAAUACAUGUUUAAGCAGCUUCAGUGUUGAUGCUUUUUCCAUGUUUCAGUCCUGCUAGCCUGAUGUUGGCUUUUGAGAUUCGUUCAGACUAACUGAUAAUAACACUACAUUAAGAGAGUUUGGGGCCACUGUGUGCCUUCUAAGACAGCAGGCAUGCGACUUUUGGGGGGAUUCCUUGCUGUUCAGUUUACUGAUUAGACUACUUAGUCUCCACUUCAUGAUCCCUCAUUCUUCUUUUAAGAAAGCAGGACCAGCAAAUUGCUUUCUCAUAGAGUCUGGAUAGGUAGAGAAGGCAGACAGUACUGCACUGAGCAGAUGGGAAAGUACAAUUGCAUCAGGGAAUUAAUUCAGGCCAUUAGGUUUUCUGAGAAGUACUAAACACAAAGGUUUCAAGUUUAUCAUAUUUAAAAUUUUUUGCCUAUUCAUGUGAGCUAACAUGCUAUCAGUUGAUUCAAGAAAUGGAGACAAGGACUACAUUCAGGUGAAAUAGCUGAAGAAGUUUGUACAAAGUGCAA
rnacentral:lncRNA from 1 species